UUUAUUUUCCCUUCUUGCGGCCGUACUUCCGGGGUGGCGAGUGCCAGGAUACCCUCUUGGCUGUCGCGAUGCCUAAAAAGCAUUGCAUAGCAAGGGCCGGGCAAGACCGGUGCCAGCCGCCGCGGUAACACCGGCGGCUCGAGUGGUGACCGCUAUUAUUGGGUCUAAAGGGUCUGUAGCCGGCCGGAUAAGUCUUUUGGGAAAUCCAGCUGCUCAACAGUUGGGCUUUCAGAAGAUACUGUUCGGCUCGAGACCGGGAGAGGUGAGAGGUACUUCAGGGGUAGGGGUGAAAUCUUGUAAUCCUUGAAGGACCACCAGUGGCGAAGGCGUCUCACCAGAACGGAUCUGACGGCAAGGGACGAAAGCUAGGGGCACGAACCGGAUUGGAUACCCGGGUAGUCCUAGCCGUAAACGAUACUCGCUAGGUGUCAGCCACGGUGCGACCGUGGUUGGUGCCGUAGGGAAGCCGUGAAGCGAGCCACCUGGGAAGUACGGCCGCAAGGCUGAAACUUAAAGGAAUUGGCGGGGGAGCAC
rnacentral:rRNA from 1 species